rnacentral:rRNA from 1 species
AUUGAACGCUGGCGGCAGGCCUAACACAUGCAAGUCGAACGAAUGGCGGACGGGCGAGUAAUUUCUUGGCAACUGCCUGAUGUAGGGGGAUAACUACUGGAAACGGUAGCUAAUACCGCAUACCAUCGGAUGUGCCCAGAUGGGAUUAGCUAGUAGGUGGGGUAAAGGCUCACGUAGGCGACGAUCCCUAGCUGGGCUGAGAGGAGGACCAGCCACACUGGAACUGAGACACGGUCCAGACUCCUACGGGAGGCAGCAGUGGGUAAUAUUGCACAAUGGGCGAAAGCCUGAUGCAGCCAUGCCGCGUGUAUGAAGAAGGCUUUCGGAUUGUAAAGUACUUUUAGCGGGGAGGCGGUACCCGCAGAAGAAGCAACGGCUAACUCCGUGCCAGCAGCCGCGGUAAUAC